AGAUUGGUAUCUUAUCUGAGAUGAAGAUCGAAGCCGUAAAACUGUUAAGCCGAAGCAAACGUGAAGUUGUGAAAUAUCAUACAAGUUUAAGUACCUCCAGUCUUGGGUGCAGCAGUGUGCAUUUAAGACAACAUUUUGGGGCGUGUAAGGCCAGGAAACCCAUUUCCCACAACUUGACAGCCAUACAUUCAUAUUAUCGGAGUUGCAAGCAUAUUGGCCAAAAAAAAAACCCAAUAAGGGUCAUCGGCUCUGGCUCUCUAAGAGGACCAAGGCUUUAGCCUUCACUUUUCCGUAUCCUGCGCCGCUCUGGUGAUUUUCCCACUUUAAAUCAGAUGGCGCGUGAGCCCUCUUUUUGAACCGGGUCGCCGCAGUGCCCUUACCCAGUUGGGUGUUGUCGGAUCAAAACUGCAUCCAUGAUCGCGUGCAUCGCGCCAGCAGCUGGUACAUUAUUCAUUUAUCUGCAGUUUUGUACGACGUACGACGUACAUGCUUCGCAGGUGCCUACAUUACCGACAUCGUCUUCCCUCCUGAACCAUGCUGUACCUUAUAGGCUUUGACCGGCUUCCUCUAUUGGCCGAGACCCUCUCUGGCCACAAACUGCUAAGCCGCGAUCCCCUCCCGUUACACUGCCAGGUUGCCCCCUCCAGUGGCCAGUAAUACCUCUUGCGAGCCCGUGGAUACCGAUAUGCCCAUCAUGACCGGCCGACAUCGCGAACUCCCCGCCGGCUCCUGCGCAAGGGACAACGAUGCCGUGCGCCCCUCGGCUCAUGAUUCCUGUCGCGGGAGGCUGUGGCCUUAGCGUCUUGCUACUGCCAUGGCCCAUUCUGAUUUUUUCCGCUGGACUGUGGCAGCCACUGGCUGUCCUGCUGCGGCCAUAGCCGUAAUACCGCUGCUUUGUCACUGAGUCGAAAAUGUGGCGGGUAAGCUUUCCUGCAGCCCCCCAUUCAUACCCCACCGAAUCAAACGCUGGGCUUUAGCUUCGAGACGCAUUACCAAUGAACCAUACGCUUUGCCGCAAACCGAGUCGUGUCUAAUUUCCCCCGCCGUACAGACUCCUAUCAAAGUAUCUCAGCCACACAGAAUCGUUGUGUGCAUCUUUGCAAGAUUCGAACCCAACAAGCCAUCGUUAUCCUUCGACCUGGCCAUCGACAACAAGGACUUUGACUACGGCAAUCAAGGGAGGAGCUACGCGGGCUACUAGACUCUAGAUAGAUCUCGUUUUUGUUAGGUUUAAGGGUAUACGCGUACCUAUAUUUAGAUAGUAGAUACAAAUCUUUUCCACUUGUUUCUUUUUUUUACUAAGCUAAGUUUUUCUGAA